rnacentral:rRNA from 1 species
GUGCCAGCAGCCGCGGUAAGACGAACCGUGCGAACGUUGUUCGGAUUCACUGGGCUUAAAGGGCGCGUAGGCGGCUCGGCAAGUCGGGGGUGAAAUCUUUCAGCUCAACUGGAAAAGGGCCCCCGAUACUGCCGGGCUGGAGGGAGGUAGGGGCACGCGGAACUUCCGGUGGAGCGGUGAAAUGCGUAGAUAUCGGAAGGAACGCCGGUGGCGAAAGCGGCGUGCUGGAUCUCCACUGACGCUGAGGCGCGAAAGCCAGGGGAGCAAACGGGAUUAGAUACCCCAGUAGUCC